UUCCCUCAAGGCAAGGAAUGCUCCAGACUCUGUGGCUUCAAAGGGAGUACUCAAGGAAGGAGGAACUAUCUGAAUGCACCCUGUAGCCUGUGCUCAGCCCUCCUGGUCUUCCCAAAACGGCUCACAGGGAGAACUUCAAGGCAAAGAACUUGGUGAAAGCCUGCGUGGUACCGCAGAAGAAUGGAUAAUCCUUGGAUUUAUUAAAAGGGCUGAAUAGGAACCAGAUAACUAAAAGAAAGUGAAAUGUUUAUUGCAGGACUGCUUGAAAGAUGUGUGGCAUUGAUGAGAUGCCUAGGAGGAAAUUGCAUGCGGCUCUGACCUUAAGAGGCUCGGUGCUGAGAGAGGACUACGCUAAUCCCCAAAUCAGGAAAACACAGUUCUGCUCUGCCAUUGAAGUCAAGCACUCUGAAGGAACAAAGGCACUUAAGAACUAUCAAAACAGAAAAUUAGUUAAAUCACUGAACUGAUAAAGAAAAAGAAAAGGAAAAAGAGGAAAAGGAAAAGAGCUAUGAUAAUUCAAAUAGAAAUUCAAAGAGGUGGCUGCCUCUCCAGCUCAUCUUCACUUCUUCAGAUGAGGAAUCUUUCUUCACAGCUCUGUUAUCUGGUUGCUGGGAUUGAUAGAGCAAUGCUGAUGGUUUUCUCACAACAGAAAUUUCACUGAA